GAUAAGUAWUGUGAAUUGCAGAAUUCAGUGAAUCAUCGAAUCUUUGAACGCACCUUGCGCUCCUUGGUAUUCCGAGGAGCAUACCUGUUUGAGUGUCAUGG
rnacentral:rRNA from 1 species